AGUGAACGCUGGCGGUAGGCCUAACACACGCAAGUCGAACGGCAGCACAGUAAGAGCUUGCUCUUACGGGUGGCGAGUGGCGGACGGGUGAGGAAUACAUCGGAAUCUACUUUUUCGUGGGGGAUAACGUAGGGAAACUUACGCUAAUACCGCAUACGACCUACGGGUGAAAGCAGGGGAUCUUCGGACCUUGCGCGAUUGAAUGAGCCGAUGUCGGAUUAGCUAGUUGGCGGGGUAAAGGCCCACCAAGGCGACGAUCCGUAGCUGGUCUGAGAGGAUGAUCAGCCACACUGGAACUGAGACACGGUCCAGACUCCUACGGGAGGCAGCUGUGGGGAAUAUUGGACAAUGGGCGCAAGCCUGAUCCAGCCAUACCGCGUGGGUGAAGAAGGCCUUCGGGUUGUAAAGCCCUUUUGUUGGGAAAGAAAAGCAGCAGGUUAAUACCCCGCUGUUCUGACGGUACCCAAAGAAUAAGCACCGGCUAACUUCGUG
rnacentral:rRNA from 1 species